UACGUAGGGUGCAAGCGUUGUCCGGAAUUAUUGGGUGUAAAGAGCUCGUAGGCGGUCUGUCGCGUCGGCUGUGAAAUCCCGAGGCUCAACCUCGGGUCUGCAGUCGAUACGGGCAAACUAGAGUAUUGCAGGGGAGACUGGAAUUCCUGGUGUAGCGGUGAAAUGCGCAGAUAUCAGGAGGAACACCGGUGGCGAAGGCGGGUCUCUGGGCAAUAACUGACGCUGAGGAGCGAAAGCGUGGGGAGCGAACAGG
rnacentral:rRNA from 1 species